rnacentral:rRNA from 1 species
GAUGAACGCUGGCGGCGUGCCUAACACAUGCAAGUCGAGCGAACCUUUCGGGGUGAGCGGCGGACGGGUGAGUAACGCGUGGGUAACCUGCCCUGUACACACGGAUAACAUACCGAAAGGUAUGCUAAUACGGGAUAACAUAUGAGAGUCGCAUGGCUUUCAUAUCAAAGCUCCGGCGGUACAGGAUGGACCCGCGUCUGAUUAGCUAGUGGGUAAGGUAACGGCUUACCAAGGCAACGAUCAGUAGCCGACCUGAGAGGGUGAUCGGCCACAUUGGAACUGAGACACGGUCCAAACUCCUACGGGAGGCAGCAGUGGGGAAUAUUGCACAAUGGGCGAAAGCCUGAUGCAGCAACGCCGCGUGAGCGAUGAAGGCCUUCGGGUCGUAAAGCUCUGUCCUCAAGGAAGAUAAUGACGGUACUUGGGGAGGAAGCCCCGGCUAACUACGUGCCAGCAGCCGCCGUAA